rnacentral:rRNA from 1 species
AUCAUGGCUCAGGAUAAACGCUAGCGGCAGGCCUAACACAUGCAAGUCGAGCGGCAGCGGGAUGUAGCAAUACAUUGCCGGCGAGCGGCGGACGGGUGAGUAACGCGUAUGCAACCUGCCCAUCACACGGAGAUAGCCGACCGAAAGGACGAUUAAACUCCGAUGGCAUCAAGAGGGGGCAUCCCCAUUUGAUUAAAUAUUCAUAGGUGGUGGAUGGGCAUGCGUGGCAUUAGUUAGUUGGCGGGGCAACGGCCCACCAAGACGAUGAUGCCUAUGGGUUCUAAAAGGAAGAUCCCACACAUCGGUACUGAGACACGGACCGGACUCCUACGGGAGGCAGCAGUGAGGAAUAUUGGACAAUGGGGGCAACCCUGAUCCAGCCAAACCGCGUGGGGGGAAAGGGAGGUCGUUGAGAUCGUAAACCCCUUUUAUAUGGGAGCAAUCCAUCCUAUGUAUAGGAUGUUGAGAGUACCAUUUGAAUAAGCAUCGGCUAACUCCGUGCCAGCCGCCGC